GAUGCAAACAGCAAGAGGAUUUUUAUUCCAAGCGCACUGGGGCCCACAGUCAUACACCACGCAGGGGUAGAGGACUGCGGCGGCGAGUGUGGAGUCGGGACAGCUUUUAUGGGGUUCACAACAAAGCCCGCGCUUCGUGGACCAAUUAAUUUAAAUUGUUUUGGAGUUACACAUUUGUGCAUGUUUCGGGGAGACAUGUUGUCACCAAGAUAUGUGUAUCAACGUUUCAACAUCUUUAUGGCGCAACCAAUUUGAGGUUGCUUUAGAGAUUAACCUCCUCUCCUUUUAUCUUUUGCAAGCAGUUUUACAGAAGCUGAACAAGCAGUUAGAAACUCCCUUUUCUUGUUAUCUCAAAUAGUUUCAAGAAGUUUCAUGCCUAGAGACACGUACUCAGGGCCUAUUUUACUUCCGCAUAUUUUAAAACAGCAAAAAACCUAACCUUUUACCUAUAAGGAACAAACUCUGGAAUUCAGAACAAUUUUAAGCUUCUCAUUAGCUUAGGUUGUAUUUUCAUCCUUUCAUUCCCCACUUCUUCUCUUGUUAAUAGUUCUAAUCUUAGAACUGGUAGAGCUAGCGGCCAGCUUUCCUGCUAGACGGGCUUUGGUACUGUUGUCUAAGUACCAUGAUCUGGACUGUACUUAGUCUAACGUAGACUGAAUCUCCCACUUGGAAACGAUGUGGGAUCUGCAAGUCUCCUUCUCCUGAGUAGGCCUCCCGGAGUUGUCUCCAUGUUCGUUGUCUCACCCACUCAAGUGCCUUGAGCCUGGAGAACAAAGGCUGGGAAAGCAGCGUAUCAGCACUAUGUACAGAAGCAACUUUUAUCAAUGGGGGGGGUCCCCCGUAGAGCAAUUCAUAGGGGGUCAACCCAUAUUGUCCAGGGGUGUUCCUAACCCUAAACAGCACAAAGGGCAGGAGAGCUAUCCAAUCAUUAAUGCCAGUCUCCGCGGUCAAUUUAGUAAGGGUCUCUUUAAUGGUUCUAUUUAUCCUCUCUACCUGUCCUGAGCUUCAGGGUCUGUAUGCACAAUGCAGUUUUUAAUCAAUCCCCAAUAUCUUGGCCAGUCCCUGACUUACCUGGGCAACAAAAGCUGGACCAUUGUCUGACCCUAUUACCUUAGGUAUUCCAAAUCUUGGAAAAAUUUUUUCCAGUAUUUUCUUAGCCACCACGGUUGAAGUCUCUUUUUUAGUAGGAUAAGCCUCUACCUAUCCUGAAAAGGUGUCUACAAAAACCAAUAGGUAUUUGUUUCCGUAUUUAGCCAGCUUUACCUCAGUGAAGUCCACUUCCCAGUGAGCGCCUGGCGGUAUGUCUGUAAGGUCCUUGCGGACCCCAGUCUCCUCAAUCAAUAAUUGAUGGCAAUCAUGAGUCACUGGUUCAUCAGUCUCUUCAGGCAGAAGAGUGGCAGGGUUGAGAGCGGCUGGUGGAGCGAAC
rnacentral:lncRNA from 1 species